UCUAAAGACACUCAUCGUAUGAGUGGGUGUUGCCUGAGCCACUGCUUUCACUAAAAUCAUCUUCCCUGCUUUUGAGAGAAAUUUGCUAUGCCAAUUCUCCAUGUGGCGAUCUAAUCUUCUUUCUUUAUUCCUCCCUGUCAUAGUUGCCUCUCAUUUGGCCGGUUCAAUUUAAUUUAAGUAGAUUUAUUAUGCAUGAAACUAAGGGAAAAAUUAGGCCGUAAACUCUAUUUGAGUCUGCCUAGGAAUCUAAAAGGGCCCAACCCAAGACCGUGUGUCCCAGUAUAUAAAGGCAUAGCUAUAGCUAACGAACCCUAAAAUCAGAAAAAAGUCCCGCAAUCUAGAAAAAUUCCCAAUUCUCUUUGCGAAUCAUGGCAUGGUCCAAGGGGUUCUUUGCUCUCUGUGGCUCCGUUGUGGCAGUCGGGCUUUUAGGCAACGCUGUAAUCUUCACAGAGAUGAGUCGAGACGUGCUAAAAGGCUGGAUCGAGCUCAACGAGCGAGUUCUGAGAGCAAGAGGCGUGGAUAUCGCUGAGUUUCGCAAAUGAACCCGACUACUUCUGGCUUGAUGUAAUUAUAACUACAUGAAUGUUGUGAGGAUAUCUCAUGGCUUAGUUCUGUUUUGUACCUUAAUUUUAUGGGACAUUAAUUAAGAUAGUUGAUAAAACAUAGAACUAUAUAUAUAUGAUGGGAUGUGCCCUGAGCUAUACACUGGGAUUUUAUCUUAUAUGUUCAGGGCGGUUACCAGAAUUCAAUUUUCAAUCCCAAACAUACAAGUUUGUGCUACUGUUGAGAUUCUAUUUUCAGCAGGGACGUAUACAAACUUAUCCUUACCAAGAACUAUCUAUAAAGGACUCUGCAUUUUAAUGAUAGCAAA